rnacentral:lncRNA from 1 species
UUUUUUUUUUUUGGAGUAUGCCAACUGACGACAAUGUCAAUAUUCAUUAUCUUUGUUAUCUUUAAUAUGCACUAUGUAAUUAGCAGAAUUUGGAAGUAAUCUUUUUUCUGGGAGACUAUGACUGGUUGACAGUGAGGGGGGUGGUUUUAUUUCUGACAAUAAAAGCAAUCAUGAUGAUUUAGAUAUAAUGGGGAAAUACUUAACCAAUGUAAUUAUUGUUGUUUUUGAAACAGCUACUUUGAAAUGAGUAAAGGAGGGGAAAGAGUCUAUUGUUCAGUCUUGUAAAAGACAUAAUCCCAAAUAUUUUGACUACUUGAAAGUAAAAUAUCUUGGAUGGAAAAGAGAUUAUUUGUAUUCAUUAGCAUAGAAUUCUAACAUGAGGGCAAUACAUGGAGGUUCGGGGGGAGGUUUCAUCUUUGAGACUGAAAUAUCCCAAAUUGCUAAAAUCUUGUAAGAUUUUACUAGGUCUGGAAAAUUUAUUUUUGACAUCUCUAUCAUUAUUUUGUUUGUUUUUGUAAAACAUGCUUGAAUCCUCUCCACUUCUACAUCAAGAAUAUAGAUGUAAGUAAGCUACAGUGAGAGAUCAAAUGACAUGUUUAAAAACUCCCACAAUUUUACUUCUCUUCUGGACAGUUAUUGUUUAAAUUUAUGUACACAACACAAAAUCAAAUCCUCUUGAAAUACAGGCAGAUGACCAGGUCGUCGGUAUUGAUAAUUUUGGACCUCUGGGAAAAGUGUGUGUGUGCGUGUGUGUGAAGUAAAAUCCUUGACAAGGAAAUCAUGGGUGCUUAGGUGUAGGGUGCCAUAUUUCACCUAACACCCCAUAGUUGUAAAGAUGUGAUCUGUGUAUGGUUCAUUAUUGAGUGUCUCUUCCUUUAGACCCUUUUUCAAAAAAGAUUUUCUUGACUUAUUUGAGAGAGGGAGAGAAAGAAUGCACAUGAGCAGAGGGAAGCAGAGAGGGAGAAGCAGACCCUCUGCUGAGCAGGGAGCCUGACAUGACACAGCACUCGAUCUCAGGACCCAGGGAUCAUGACCGGAACUGAAGGAAGACACUUAACCAACUGAGCCACCCGAGGGCCUCCUUCCUUUAGACUCUUAAGCAAGGUGAAAGAAGUGCUGGCAAAUACUUGCAAUGUAUACACAAAUAAAUAACAUUUACACACACAUUUCUUAUUGCUGCUGUAACAAAUUACCACAAAUUUACCUGCUUAAAACAACACACACUUAUAGUCCUAUUAGUCGUAAGUCUCACUGGGCUAAAACUUAGCGUUAGCAAGGCUGUGUUCUUUCUGGAGGUUCUCGGGGAAAAUUCAUUCUAGAAGCCACUUGCCUUUCUUUGCUCCAGACUCUUUCCUCCAUCGUCAAAGCAGCACUGCACCUUCAAAUCUCCGACUCUAACACUCUUGCCUCCCCUUCAUGAGAAAACCCUCGUGCUUAUGCUAGGCCCGCCCAGAUAUCCAGGAUAAUCUCCCCAUCUCAGGAGCCUCACCCUAAUUACAUUUGUAAAGUCCCUUCUACUGUAUCUAGUAAUAUAUUCGCUGGAGAUUUGGGCCUGGAUGUCUUUGGAGGACCAUGAUCCUGCCACACACACACACACACACACACACACACACACACACGUGUAUCUAUCCAAUGGCUAGAAUUCUUAGUGCACAAAUUUAGGAUUAAGAGAAAUAUAAUGUCAUUGAUUUUUUUUUUCUACAACUCAAGCUAGGGUUGUGUCCAUAAAUUGUCAAAGCCCAGGGUGGAAAUGCGUGUGAGGGGUGCCUAAGCUGGUCCUCGCUGUUGAGUCCACGCAGGUUUGCCACUGAGCUGCUUCUCAUUUGUGUUAAAGAAGGUACACGGCUGGGAAACAGGCGGUCAUCUAAUUCCUAUUUCACAUGGAAUCAUCCAUCUAGUCACUCAAUAAGUAUUCAUCGAGUGCCAACGUGUAUGGGCCCCUGAACCCAUGGAAUAUAAAACAUGCAUAAGGCGUCAUCCCUCAUUUCAAAGAAACUACUGUCUAAGACCGUAACACGUUCCCAGGAAGCACAAUGACAGAAAUGCAUACUCGGUACUGUGUGGUACUGAGAACGGGGAUCUGAUGUAGGUCGGGGUGGUGUACAGUCUGAUUAGCAAAGGCGCCGGAAGUUGCUCACAGGUGAGCUGAGGACUUGGAGAAGGAGGACAAGUGAGCUGGGGGUCUAUAGGUACCGCCAGAGCCCAGCCGCAGGGUUCCUUGAGGACCAGAGAUAUAUUUUCAAUUCAACUCAACAAAUAAUUAUCGAAAGGUGUUGCAUGCUAAGGAGAAGUGCGCUGACCUAAGAGAAUGUUGAAUACCGACACUUCCACUUGUUAAGGGGAUUAGGGAGAGCUUCUCCGAGGAAGUUACAGACGCGAGACAAGUAAUUACAAGUGUGAUGCGUGCUGUGGAGCAAUGCUAUGGUCAUGCAGGGGAAAAUAAUUUAACCCAGUCAAGAGGGUCAGGGACUGCCAGGCUGAGAAACUGAUGUCGAAAUUGAGACCUGAGGGAUAAGGAGCAUUUGACAAAGGGGAGGAGGAAGGGGCCAGUUGAGCAAUCGAAUAUUCUGGAUGGUAGGGGGUGCAGGGUGGUCAGGACGGGGAGAAGGGGAGAGAAGAAUGCAUGCAGGGUCUCCAGAACCAGGUGAACAGUUUUACCUUUAUUCUGGAUUUGUUGAAGAGCUUCUGCUAAAUUUUCAAUUUGGAAAUGACAUGAUCAGAUUUGUAUUUUUUUAAAAAAGAUUUUUAUUUAUUUAUUCCUGAGAGACACAGAAAGAGAGGCAGAGACACAGGCAGAGGGAGAAGCAGGCUCCAUGCAGGGAGCCCGAUGUGGGACUCAAUCCCGGGCCCCUGGGAUCACAACCUGGGCCAAAGGCAGAUGCUCAGCCACUGAGCCACCCAGGAGCCCAGAUCAGGUUUGUAUUUUUAAAAGAUCCUUUUGGCCUUAGAAGGGGGAGAUUAGGUGAAAGGUGAGUAAUGGAAGAAGAGUAAAGAAGCAGUUGCAGGAUCCAGACAAGAUUCUGACGCGGGCAGCAUGGUGUCAGUGGGCGUAAAGUAAGGGCAGUUUGUUCAAGAAAUAUUUAGGAGGUAAAAUAUUGAUGAGGUUCUCCUCUUGUCGAAGGCGCCAUGCUAAGUUUCGGAGCUAUUAUAACACAUGGCACAACGCCUGGCACAUAGGUGCUAAGUAUUCUUAAAUUUGGUCGACGUUUGGGACACAGAGUAGCAAGAGACAAAGACAGAGGCCAGAUCAUGUGUCAUCAAGCAAAGGUCUUAAGCGAGGAUACCCUGGCAUUGUGGCAUUUGCCUGUUAUUUGUCAGCCAGUGCCUGUUUGGAAGAUGAAUUUGAAGGAGACAACAUUCUAGAUGGAAGGAGGAGUAACAAGACCCUUGCAGCAGUUCAGUUACGUGAUGAUGUGUCCUGGAACCAGUAUAGCGCUCGGAAAUCCAGGCAAAGAGCUACCACAAGCAAGAAAUAGUUGGAGGGCAAAAUUGGAACCGGUGAUGGAGAGGUAGAGAGAGAAAGGAACAAGACUCAAAGAUGAUUCUCCUGCUUCUAAUAUCAAGGACGGAGAAGGACAAAUGUGAACCCAGGCACAAAGCAAGCACUCCCCACUACUUCCCGAUGACCUCCUGGGUCAUCCUGCCAAUUCGAAUCCAAGUAUAAACCUGCUCUACCUUUUACCUGAUUUUUCCCACAUGAUGAACCCAAGUUUUUACUUUUAGUUCAACCAUUGGUGACAAUUGACUCACUGUCAUUUGUUUUGUUUUGUGCUUUUUUUUUUUUUUUUUUUUUCUGAUGCUCCAAUAUAAAGGGAGGUGUGGGGAAAUCUCAGAAAGACCAUUUCUCAGGAGAACAUUUGCUAUUAGUCCAUGCAUUUGUUUUUUGAUUGUCAAUAUACCGUCACCUCUCUGAGCAGUGGUGGCACAGCUACUAAGUAGUUUGUUUUUAUAUGAACCACUUUCAGACAAACUGCUUACUGACACUCAUCAAAUUCCAAUGAAAGCCGCCCAAACCCCCCUUCCCACAGGACCAUCGUUUUCACCACCCGGGCAAAAAUGAUAUUCUGGGUAAAAAGGAAGGAAUACAUGAAAUAUAUGCUCUGGAGACCAACAACAAAUAAUUACACAAUAACUUCCAAAGCCCAGACACCCGGCCAUGCAAUACAACUCCCGUCCUAUGGGGUUUCUAGCACUUUGGUUAUUGCUGAAUGCAUUUUGUCACACAUCUUGUGACAUAUCAAACUUCAAGGUCGCAAGGUUUGACUUUAUUUUAUAUUUUAUAGGAGACAUAACUUUAAUUCCAUAAUCAUAUAAUAGGUAUUGUCAGUAUCCACAUGGAGAAAGAACUGCAGAGACAAGCCUCAGAAAUGAAAACGAAGCGAGUGCCCUGUGUAGGAGCUUGCUAUGUUCUAGUUUGCCAGCCAUCCCCUCCGAACCCUAUGCCCACCCUAUGCCCCUAUCCUAGCUCUAGUUCCCUCCCGUCGGACCUUGUGCAAAGCAUGACUCUCUGUACCCCCCACAUAGAAUGUGGGCUUCAAUCUCGUAUGUGGCUAAUUUGUAGGAUAAAUCAUUUACAUAAUUUUUUAAAAGAAUCAAAAACAUAAAAAUGUUUAUCAUGACUGGAUAGGAGAGAAACUAGGACCAAAAGAUAUUUUACGUAGAUUUCUUUUAAAGCUCAUAAAGAGGAGGAACAUUUUUGGCCUGACAACUUGGCCAGCCAAGUUAAUUGCUCUCCAUGACCUCCAGCUCCUGCAGACUAAUUAGGCUAGUCUCUGAGUGUGGUUCAACAACAGCAACACAGCUCCACAGCUCAGCAAAAGUUUGAAGGAAGCUGGCUUGCUCUCUUUGACCCAGGAUUUAAAAGUGAUGUCUAAGAAACGAUUAUGCUAAUCAGAAGUCAUUUGUCCAAGUAAACUGCUGGGAAUAUCUUGUUUCUUCAGAGCUUGCAAAGACCAUGAGGGUGUCUAACUCUUCUUGGUCAAGUAGAUGUUAAAAAAAAAAAAAAAAAAAAAAAA